rnacentral:rRNA from 1 species
CGGACGGGUGAGUAACACGUGGAUAACCUACCUAUAAGACUGGGAUAACUUCGGGAAACCGGAGCUAAUACCGGAUAAUAUAUUGAACCGCAUGGUUCAAUAGUGAAAGACGGUUUUGCUGUCACUUAUAGAUGGAUCCGCGCUGCAUUAGCUAGUUGGUAAGGUAACGGCUUACCAAGGCAACGAUGCGUAGCCGACCUGAGAGGGUGAUCGGCCACACUGGAACUGAGACACGGUCCAGACUCCUAAGGGAGGCAGCAGGG